rnacentral:lncRNA from 1 species
GGUUAAUUCACUUCCUUCUCCAGGGCUUCGCUGAACUCUGCACAGACCUCAAUUACAACCCUUAUAAAGCUGGGUUGUGGUCGGGUGCGGUGGCUCAUGCCUGUAAUCCCAGCACUUGGGAGACUGAGGCAUGUGAGUCGCCUGAACCCGGGAGGCAGAGGUUGAAGUGAGCCGAGAUCGUGCCACUGCACUCCAGCCUGGGCGACAGAGCGAGACUCCGUCUCAAAAAAUCUGGAAGUUUGACUGUUGCAUCUCCCUUGGCCUGACAUUGCUGACUGCACACUCGAGGUUCUGUUCAACACACUGCUCUGUCCUGUGAUCGUCCUGUGAAUUGCCAGCUGAAUCCAGAGACUGGCUCAGGCUCAGGAUUGAUCCCUUUGGUCAGACUGCAGGGUCUCGUUUUGUCACCCAGGCUGGAUACACUGGCACGUUCAAUAGUUCACGGCAGCCUCGACCUCCCGGGCUCAAGCAACUCUCCCAUCUCAGCAUCCCGAGUAGCUGAGACCACAGUAGAGACGGGGUUUCACCGUGUUAGCCAGGAUCGUCUGGAUCUCCUGACCUCGUGAUCCACCCGCCUUGGCCUCCCAAAGUGCUAGGAUUACAGGCGUGGGACACCGUGCCCAGCCCAGGUCCUUGUGCCCUUCGAGGGUGCAGACGGUGGUCUCUGCAUCUCCUUUGCUCCACGUGCCAGGCACAGGUGCCUGGGAACUACAGAAGAGGUUGAAUAGAAGGCUUAACAAUGAGUUUGGAAGUCAGGCACAGAGGGUUUGACUUCCGGGGGCACCCCUUGCCAGCUGUAUGACCCUGGCAAGUCACUCUUCCUUUCUGCGCCUUGGUCCCUGCAUCUAUAAAUUGCUGUAAGGAUGAAAUUACAUAAUUAUAGGUAAAGCACCUGGCACAGUGAACAGUCCACAAAUCUUAGCUAUAAUAACAAUGACGUCAGUUAAGUAACUCACUUAGAAACAACACUGGCCACUGAAGUGGAGGGCCAGUGAAGUGGAGUCAAGUGCUGGGAGGAAGUCCAGGCCAGCAGGCCAACUUUGGUAUACAAAGAUGUGAAAACACGCUUGGCGUGGUGGCUCACGCCUGUAAUCCCAGCACUUCGGAAGGCCGAAGCAGGCAGAUCACCUGAGGUCAGGAGUUCCAGACCAGCCUGGCCAAGAUGGCGAAACUCUGUCUCUACUAAAAAUAUAAAAAUUAGCCAGGCGUGUUGGCGUGUGCCUGUAGUCCCGGCUACUCCUCGGGAGGCUGAGGCAGGAGAAUCACUUGAACCUGGGAGGCAGAAGUUGCAGUGGGCCGAGAUUGCACCAUUGCACUCCAGCCUGGGUGACAGAGCAAGACCCUGUCUCAAAACAAAAAAACAAAGAUGUGAAAACAGCCAACCACCAGGUGGCAAUCCAUGCAAGAGCCCAGCUGCCGGGUGUGCCCCAGCUUCAAGCCAGACAGACCUCAGACAUCCAGGGCCUGGGGAAGGUCCAGCCCCAAAUGGCAGCCAUCUGAUAGCAGCAAAAGAAAACCUGUGGGCCAGGCGCGGUGGCUCACGCCUGUAAUCUCAGCACUUUGGGAGGCCGCGGCGGGCGGAUCACGAGGUCAGGAGUUCAAGACCAGCUUGGCCAAUAUGGUGAAACCCCAUCUCUACUAAAAAUACAAAAAUUAACUGGGUGUGGUGGCGCAUGCCUGUAGUCCCAGCUACUCAAGAGGCUGAGGCAGAAGAAUCACUUGAAUCUGGGAGGCGGAGGUUACAGUGAGCCGAGAUAGUGCCGCUGCACUCCAGCCUGGGCAACAGAACGAGACUGUCUCAAAAAAAAAAAAAAAGAAAACCUGUGAACCUGGGGGCUGGGGAACAGAGCUCUUGCCCAUGCGAAACAUGGGGUGCUGGGAGAGCUCAUGAAAAUGUACAUCAUUCAUGUGCCAUGCGCUUGCUGAGUACUUCCCAUGCAUAAUUCAAUUUCAGCCUCAUGGCAGCCUUUCUCAGUUGAUGUUGUUAUCCCAGUUCAGAGAGGAGUAAACUGAGGCCCAGAGAAGUUAAAAAACUUGCCCAAGGACAUACAGCUAGUGAGUGGUGGAGCUGGGAUUUGAACCCAGGCAGUCUGUUUCCAGAGAACUGCUUCAGGCCCUCCUGCCCCUAUCAAGAGGCCAGGGCAGGGCAGAGCCUACAGGUGGGACUCCAGGGGUCCAGAGCUGGAUGAUCUACACACAGGGGAUCACAUGAUGCAAGCAGUUUCCGUACAAUGCGUUCUAUUUAGGGUGGGUUGUCCUUCUCCAGAAGGAAGAAUUUCUCCCUGGAGACUGGCCAGAUGCAGCCUGGUGGGUGGCAGUGCAUACAUUCCCAUCUCCUCAGACCUACCUACCAAGAACAGCCGCGCUGAUGAGAGUCCUGUGUCACUGGCGAAAUUGCUUCCAAAUUGCCUUCUUCAUUAACUGUGCAAAUUUGCAUCUUAAUUAGGCUUAAUGGAAUACAAUUACCAGACCCCACGUUUCUCUCUCUGAUUUCAAGCAAGGAUGCCACAGAGACAGGCCAGAAGCCAAAAACGUGGGGCUGGAGGGAGCCUGGUUGGGCUCUCCCUGCAGGAAACCUCGCAUCUGGGAAAGGAGGGGCCAGGCGCUACCCAGCGGGGACUGCACCUGGUACAUCCAGGCUCCUGAACUGAGGAGACCAUGGGAUUUGGAAUCAAGCUUUGGGAAGCCUGCCUCUGCCUCUGACCAGUGGAGGACUGACCCUUUCUGAGCCUCUGUUUUCUCAUUUGUAAAUUGGAGAUGGUGAUAACAUUUACUAUGGGGUAGCUGCAGGGAUCAAAGGUGAUCGCGUGUGUGUUAGCACCUGGUAAAGCACCUAACACGUAGUUUGUUCUCUUUCUCCAUGCCCUCCCUUUUUGAGGCCUACAAGGUUGUGCAGAGCUGAUCCCGGCCUUCCCCUUCGGUGAUUCAGUGAGCGUCAGCUUAUUUCAUCCUCCCUUCCAUGCUCUGGCCAUACACACUUCUGAGUCCUGGGAAGGCUCUAAGCUCCUUCCUGUCUUGUGAGCUUUUCAAGUGCUAUUCCCUCUGCUUGGAACACCUGACCCCUGGUUAGUACCUACUCAUCCUUCCAAUCUCAGCUCAAACAGCACUGUCUCCAGGAAGCCUUCCCUAGCCCCAGAAUAAACUCUCCUAACAUCAUUUAUCUAUGGGAUUAUUUAAUAUGUGUCCCUCUCUCUCCCACAGACAGUAAGCUCCAUGAGUGCAGAGAACACUUCUAUUGUGUUCUCUGUUGCAUCUCCAGCUCCUGGUUCAGGGCUUAUCACAUAGUAGGUCCCAUUCAUGUCUGUUUAAUGGAUGGAUAUGAACAUCCCACUGAGCCUCAGCGAAUGUCAAGUGGGAGCCAUAAUCUCAUCCUUAUGGUGCUGUGAAAUCAUUAAAUGAUUUUUGGCACACAGUAGGUGUUUGACGAAUGAGAUACCUAUUCUCCCAUUCCUUUCAAUUAAGGAAAAGUUAGAAGCAGGCAUAUAGGUAGCUUAAAGGACAGCAUGUUCAUGGAUAGGAACCCCCAAUAUUGUCUAGAUGUCAGUUUUUACCAACUUGAUUUAUAGAUUUAAUGCAACCCCAAUCAAAAUUCCAGCAAGUUAUUUUGUGGAUAUAAGCAAACUGAUUAUGAAGUUUAUAUGGAGAGCAAAAGACCCAGAAUAACCAACACAAUAUUGAGGGAGAAGAGCAAAGUUGGCAGACUGACACUACCCAACUUUAAGACUUACUAUAAAGCUACAGUAAUUAAUAUGGUAUUGGUGAAACAAUAAACAGAGUAAUGGAACAGAAUCCAGAAUCCAGAGAUAAAUCGACAUAAAUACAGUCAAGUUGUUUUUGACAAAAGGGCAAAGUCAAUACAAUGGAGAAAAAUUCUUUUCAGCAAAUGGUGCUGGAACAACUGGACAUCCACAUGCAAAAAAGUACAUCUAGAUACAGACCUUACACCCUUCAGACAAAGUAACUCAAAAUGGACCAUAAGCCUAAGCAUAAAACCAAAAUUAUAAAACUCCUAGAAGAUAACACAGGAGAAAACCUGGAUGACCUUGGGUUGGCAAUGACUUUUUAGAUACAAUACCAAAGGCAUGCUCCUUGAAAGAAAUAAUUAAUUGAGAAGCCAGAAGGCAAAAUGGUACAGCCAUUUUGGAAGACAGUUUGGCCGUUUCUCACAAAACUAAAUAUACUCUUACCAUACCAUGCAGCAAUUAUACUCCUUGGUGUUUACCCAAGACUUGAAAACUUGUGUCUACACAAAAAUCUGCACGAGUGUUUAAAGCAGCUUUAUUUUUAUUUAUAAUUGCCAAAGCUUGGAGGCAAGUAAGAUGUCCUUUGGUAACAAGAGGAUUCAGAAUCUGAGAGAUACUGCUUAAAAGGAAAAUGUCCUGGAGGGAUGCCAAACUGCACUCUCAAAGGUUUCGGCUGGAUGUGUGAUAUUGAUGGGGAAACCCAUUUCAGUGUCUCUAAGAAGGGGGUAGUGCUCCUCUUUCCAGGAUGUCUCUGGGGAAUCUAGAGCACCCCAAAGUGUGGUAUGCAUAGAAACAUUGCUGCUUAAGGUCUGAAUAUUUGUUCCUCAUCAAUUCAUGUGUUGAAAUUCUAACCUCUCCUGAAUGGGAUUAGUGCUCUUACACGAGAGGCCUGACAGAGACUCCUCACCCUUCCCACCAUGCGAAGACACAGUGAGAAGGCUCAGUCUAUGAACCAAAAUGUUGACUGUCACCAUUUACUCAAUCUGCUGUCGCCUUGAGCUUGGACUUCCCAGCCUCCAGAACUGUGAGAAAUAAAUUUCUGUUGCUUAUAAGACAACCAGUUUAUGACAUUUCGUUAUAGCAGCCUGAAUGGACUAAGACACCCUUCCCACCAUGUGAAGACAGAGUGAGAAGGUUCGGUCUAUGAACCAAAAACUGACCCUCACCAGUCAUUGAAUCUGCUGGUGCCUUGAUCUUGGACUUCCCAGCCUCCAGAACUGUGAGAAAUAAAUUUCUGUCGUUUAUAAGCCACCUAGUUUAUGAUACUUUGUUAUAGCAGCCUGAAUGGACUGAGACACCCACCUUAAAAAGACAGUACCUCAAAACCAUAAGGCAGGAUAACUGCUAGCCUGAUAUUAAUAGUUUUUAAUUUACUGCUAGCUUCAUUUUGCCAACUGAGUCAGAUAUUUUUUAAAAGUUCUGUUUGCAAUUAUUUUAACUUAGGAGAGGAGAAAAAGAGCAGGCAUCAGCCUGCAUAUGGGAUAUUUCUGAAAGGAUUUUGCUAUGAUUAGCUUGCCCUCAGGGAGAGUAAAAUGUGAGUUAUACAACCAUGCUUAUAUUUAGAUGUUGUUGAUGUUCUGGCUUAUAAUAUAUGAUGAGUUAGAAAUAAUUUUGUACUGAUCAGCCCAACCAGAAAAUAAACAUGCUUUAACUUGUAUUUAUUACUAAACUUGGUCUCCUAAAACAUGAUAAAGCAGUUGAGUCUAUAAUGACUGAGCCAUAGCUUCUCUGACUGACUCUAAGAGGGAAUGACGUUAAUAAGAGAUUAGCCCAUACCUCUAAUAGCCCUGGGAGAGAUGAACCCAAGACGGCAAGGCCCAGCUCUGAUGGAUGAAGGGACAGAGAACUAUAAGAAGACUGGGUUCCAUCUAGGAUGGGUGGCCUGUUGAGUGCCCAUCUUAUCUGCUUAGAUGAUGAUACUUGGAGACCUGACUCAAUUGUUGUGAAUGGUCUUUGUAAAAUUUUAUUUUAGAGACAGGGUCUUGCUAUGUUGCCCAGGCUGGUCUCAAACACCUGGGCUCAAGUGAUCCUCCUGCCUCAGCCUCCUGAGUAGCUGGAACUGCAAGUGAUUACUCUUAUUGAACAAACAAACAAAAACAAGUGCCUGUGACCUAAUAGAGAUGCAUGCAUAUGUUCACCAAAAGAUCUAGAAUGUCCACAACAGCCCUAUUUAUCAUCACCCCAAAUGGGGCACCCUGCACCUACCUCAACAGUAGAUGCAUACAUUUCUGUGUAUUUACACUGUGGAAUAUGACACAGCAAUGACAAUGAAUGAACUACAGCUAUACACAACAACAUGGAUGGCUAUCACAAACAUAAGGUAGAGCUAAAAGCGAAAAAAACCAGCAUAAAAGUGGGCAAAAGCCAUCUAUGUUGUUAAAAAUCAGGAUAGUGGCUGCCCUGGAAGGGGGCAUGAGGAGGCUUCAAGGUGCUUGUCAUGUUCUCUUUCUUCACUGGGACGCUGGUUACGCAGGUGUGUUCAGUUGGUGAAAAUUCACCCAGCUGUGCAUACAACGUGUGUAUACUUUCAUGUAUAUUAUAGUUCAAUAAAAAGUACUGCUACUACCACUGCU